CCUACGGGUGGCAGCAGUGGGGAAUAUUGGACAAUGGGGGGAACCCUGAUCCAGCCAUGCCGCGGGUGUGAAGAAGGCCCUCGGGUUGUAAAGCACUUUCAGUGAGGAAGAACGCCUGGUGGUUAAUACCCAUCAGGAAAGACAUCACUCACAGAAGAAGCACCGGCUAACUCCGUGCCAGCAGCCGCGGUAAUACGGAGGGUGCGAGCGUUAAUCGGAAUUACUGGGCGUAAAGCGCGCGUAGGUGGCUUGAUAAGCCGGUUGUGAAAGCCCCGGGCUCAACCUGGGAACGGCAUCCGGAACUGUCAAGCUAGAGUGCAGGAGAGGAAGGUAGAAUUCCCGGUGUAGCGGUGAAAUGCGUAGAGAUCGGGAGGAAUACCAGUGGCGAAGGCGGCCUUCUGGACUGACACUGACACUGAGGUGCGAAAGCGUGGGUAGCAAACAGGAUUAGAUACCCGAGUAGUC
rnacentral:rRNA from 1 species